AAAGAUUGCACAACAUUAGCAGAGUUUUUACCACCCAAACAUGAGUAUGUAUUAGCAGUAAGAAUGACUUCUAUUCAGUGCAAGCUUUACCAGUACUAUUUGGAUCACUUCACAGGAACAGGAAGUACUAGAGAAGGAGGAAGAGGAAAAGGAGGAACAAAACUCUUCCAGGAUUUUCAAAUAUUAAGCAGAAUUUGGACUCAUCCAUGGUGCUUACAGCUGGACUAUA